UGAGACUACUGAUACCCACACACACAGGUGAGACUACUGAUACCCACACACACAGGUGAGACUACUGAUACCCCCACACACACAGGUGAGACUACUGAUACCCCCACACACACAGGUGAGACUACUGAUACCCACACACACAGGUGAGACUACUGAUACCCACACACACAGGUGAGACUACUGAUACCCACACACACAGGUGAGACUACUGAUACCCACACACACAGGUGAGACUACUGAUACCCACACACACAGGUGAGACUACUGAUACCCACACACACAGGUGAGACUACUGAUACCCACACACACAGGUGAGACUACUGAUACCCACACACAGGUGAGACUACUGAUACCCACACACACAGGUGAGACUACUGAUACCCACACACACAGGUGAGACUACUGAUACCCACACACACAGGUGAGACUACUGAUACCCACACACACAGGUGAGACUACUGAUACCCACACACACAGGUGAGACUACUGAUACCCACACACACAGGUGAGACUACUGAUACCCACACACACAGGUGAGACUACUGAUACCCACACACACAGGUGAGACUACUGAUACCCCCACACACAGGUGAGACUACUGAUACCCACACACACAGGUGAGACUACUGAUACCCACACACACAGGUGAGACUACUGAUACCCACACACACAGGUGAGACUACUGAUACCCACACACACAGGUGAGACUACUGAUACCCACACACACAGGUGAGACUACUGAUACCCACACACACAGGUGAGACUACUGAUACCCACACACACAGGUGAGACUACUGAUACCCACACACACAGGUGAGACUACUGAUACCCACACACACAGGUAAGACUACUGAUACCCACACACACAGGUGAGACUACUGAUACCCACACACACAGGUGAGAGAAAGGGUGGGGUGCAGCACUCAUAGUGCCACCUGGUGGUUACUUUAUGAAUUGCACCCUCUCCCUCGCAUCCCCCCCUCUCCCUCGCAUCCCCCUCUC